rnacentral:tRNA from 1 species
AAUAAGAUGCCUGAAUAAAGGAGUAUUCUGAUAGAAUUCAUUAUGUAAUAUUAUUACUCUUAUUA